CGGGCGCAUGACGGAUGCCUUGGCAGCGGAUGGCGAAGAAGGACGCGGCAAGCGGCGAUAUUCCACGGCGAGGCGCAGGCGGCCCGUGACCCGUGGGUCUCCGAAUGGGGCAACCCCGCAGGGCGAUCCCUGCGACCCCGCGCUGAAUCAAAUAGGCGCGGGGGGCGACACCGGGGGAAGUGAAACAUCUCAGUACCCCGAGGAGAGGAAAUCAAACGAGAUUCCGCCAGUAGCGGCGAGCGAACGCGGACCAGCCCAAACCGGGGGAUUCAUCCCCCGGGGUUGUAGGGCCGGCGUAGGUCCGUCGGACGGCAGCGCAGGCGCCUGGAAAGGCGCGCCAAAGAGGGUGACAGCCCCGUGCGCGAAACCGUCCCGGCGGCGGGCCGGGACCCUGAGUAGGGCGGGACACGUGAAACCCCGUCCGAAUCCGGGGGGCCCACCCCCCAAGGCUGAAUACAAGCCGCUGACCGAUAGCGCACGAGUACCGUGAGGGAAAGGUGAAAAGAACCCUUUCGAAGGGAGUGAAACAGACCCUGAAAUCAUGCGCCCCCAGACUGCAGGAGCACGCUUGCGUGUGACUGCAUGCCUUUUGCAUAAUGAGCCUGCGAGUCGCCCUGCGCGGCGAGGUUAAGCCGGAAGGCGGAGCCGAAGCGAAAGCGAGUGCGAAGAGCGCGCCGAGUCGCGCGGGGCGGACCCGAAGCCGGGUGAUCUAUCCGCGGUCAGGCCGAACCCCCGGUAACGCGGGGCGGAGGGCCGAACCAGUUCAUGUUGAAAAAUGUUUGGAUGAACUGCGGAUGGGGGUGAAAGGCCAAUCAAACCCGGUGAUAGCUGGUUCUCUCCGAAAUAGCUUUGGGGCUAGCCCGCGCGGUUCUACGCGGCGGGGGUAGAGCUACCGGUUGACCGAGGGGCCCUUUCCGGGCUGCCGACGUCGGCCGAACUCCGAAUACCGCCGCGCGUACGCGCGGAGUCAGACGGCGGGGGAUAAGCUCCGUCGUCGAAAGGGGAACAGCCCGGACCGCCGAUUAAGGCCCCUGAUAGCGCCCUUAGUGGAUUGUAAGGAUGCGGGGCCGCGCAGACAGCCAGGAUGUUGGCUCAGAGGCAGCCACCAUUUGAAGACCGCGUAACAGCCCACUGGCCGAGUGUCCCCGCGCCGAAAAUGAUCGGGACUGAAGGGCGCAGCCGAAAUCGCGGGAUCGACUUGUUCGAUCGGUAGGAGAGCGACGCCGCCCGGGCGAAGCGGGAGCGGAAGCGACCGUGGACGGGCGGCGUGCGACCAUGCAGGCAUGAGUAGCGACAAGGGCGGCGCGAAUCCGCCCCACCGAAAGUCCGAGGUUUCCCGGGCCAGGUUCGUCCCCCCGGGGUCAGUCGGCCCCUAAGGCCAGGCCGCGAGGCGUAGCCGACGGAGAGCUGGCGAACAUUCCAGCACCCGGGCGUCUUUCGCAGGACCGAGCGGGCCCGGAGGCGCGCGCCUUACUGGAUUGGCGUGCCGCAGGGCGGAGCGCCGGGGCGACCCGGCGCGAAGGCGCCCGAGGCGCCCGCCGAGAAAAGGGUCCUGGGUUACAGGCGUCCGGACCGUACCGCAAACCGACACAGGUGGACGGGUCGAGUAGACCGAGGUGCGCGGGAGAAACCACGUCAAGGAACUCGGCAAAACCGCCCCGUAACUUCGGGAGAAGGGGCGCUCCGCCGUCGAGGGCAACCGAGGCCGGCGGAGCCGCAGCGAAGAGGCCCAGGCGACUGUUUAGCAAAAACACAGCACUCUGCCAAAUCCCAAGAUGACGCAUAGGGUGUGACACGUGACCAAUGCCGAAAGGUCAAGCGGAGGCGUCAGCCGCAAGGCGAAGCGCGGAGGCGAAGCCCCGGUGAAUGUCGGCCGUAACUAUAACGGUCCUAAGGUAGCGAAAUUCCUUGUCGGGCAAGUUCCGACCUGCACGAAUCGUGUAACGAUCUGGGCGCUGUCUCGACGUGGAUCCCGGCGAAGUUGUAAUUCCGGUGAAAAUGCCGGACACCUGCGGAAGGACGGAAAGACCCCAUGAACCUUCACUGUAGCCUGACAUUGGCAUCCGGUCGCCCGCGCGCAGAAUAGGUGGGAGGCUUCGAACCGGCGGCUCCGGCCGCCGGGGAGCCUCCAGUGAGAUACCACCCCCGGGCGUCUGGCUGUCUAACCGCGGACCCCUGGACCGGGGCGCGGGACCGUGUCAGGCGGUCAGUUUGACUGGGGCGGUUUCCUCCCAAAAGAUAACGGAGGAGCUCGAAGUCCGGCUCAGCGCGUUUGGCAACCGCGCGUCGAGUGCAAGGGCACAAGCCGGGCUCACUGCGAGACCGACGGGUCGGGCAGCCGCGAAAGCGGGACCUAGUGAUCCAGCGGCGGAACGUGGCAUCGCCGUUGCUCAUCGGACAAAAGGUACUCUGGGGAUAACAGGCUGAUCGCGCCCAAGCGUCCACAGCGACGGCGCGGUUUGGCACCUCGAUGUCGGCUCAUCACAUCCUGGGGCUGAAGCGGGUCCCAAGGGUUCGGCUGUUCGCCGAUUAAAGUGGUACGCGAGCUGGGUUCAGAACGUCGUGAGACAGUUCGGUCCUUAUCCUCCGCAGGCGCAGGAGGACUGGCGGGAUCGCCCCCUAGUACGAGAGGACCGGGGGCGGGCGGCCUCUGGUGUUCCGGUUGUCCGGCCUACGGGCACCGCCGGGUAGCCACGCCGCAACGGGAUAAGCGCUGAAGGCAUCUAAGCGCCAAGCCCCCCCGGAGAUCAGUCCUCCCCGUGCGCGAGCACGCUGAAGGCCCCCGGAAGACGACCGGGUCGACAGGCCGGGUGCGCAAGGCCCGCGAGGGUCUCAGCAGACCGGUUCUGAUAGGCCGUGCGGCUUGC
rnacentral:rRNA from 1 species